rnacentral:rRNA from 1 species
CCUACGGGCGGCGGCAGUGAGGAAUAUUGGUCAAUGGCCGAGAGGCUGAACCAGCCAAGUCGCGUGAGGGAAGACGGCCCUACGGGUUGUAAACCUCUUUUGUCGGGGAGCAAAGCGAGUCACGUGUGACUCAUUGAGAGUACCCGACGAAAAAGCAUCGGCUAACUCCGUGCCAGCAGCCGCGGUAAUACGGAGGGUGCGAGCGUUAUCCGGAUUUAUUGGGUUAAAGGGGUGCGCAGGCGGAGGUGCAAGUCAGCGGUCAAAUUGCGGGGCUCAACCCCGUACUGCCGUUGAAACUGCAGCCCUUGAGUGCGCGAGAAGUAGGCGGAAUGCGUGGUGUAGCGGUGAAAUGCAUAGAUAUCACGCAGAACUCCGAUUGCGAAGGCAGCAUACCGGCGCGCAACUGACGCUCAUGCACGAAAGCGUGGGUAUCGAACAGGAUUAGAUACCCUUGUAGUC